UAUCUUUUGCCGAUUCAUCUAUUUAAAAUCUUGUAUUGGGUGUUUUGUUUUAUCUGCAUUUAUGCUACUAUAGCAAUUCUCACUUCGACACCCCCACCUUUAAAAAAGACUAAAAUUUUAAACGUCCUAAAGGAACACUUGUUGUCUUGUUGCAGACAUGACUAUGACACACUGCUUUAACUGGAUGAAAAUAACCAUCAGCACACUGGUGCUUCAGAAAAGCCAGAUCAAUAAUUUGCCGCAUUCAGUAGUUCAGUCCAAUAGCAUUGAAGAUCCAUGUUCUGUCUGCCUUGAAAAUCCUUCUAUGGGAGAUACUAUCUGCCAUUUGCCAUUUGAAAGAUCAGAAUUGUGCCUAAAAUCAGACCAUCCAUGUUUGCACUGCUUCCGGGCCCCUUUGUGUACCUUGCCAUGCAACCAUCAUUCUGCAAAUAACUCAUUCUCGGAUGGAUGGUAUUAUAUUUAAUACUCAUUAGUUAAUUCAUGUCCCUAACUGAUGCCAUUCUUAGUAAAUUUAGACCAAUUUGUUUUAGUGUAUCAUGUUGUCAUGUGUUGGCAAUACAAACGAAAGGAGUCUAGAUGUAUCACUUAUACUAUAGUUCAUACUUUAUUAUUGUGGUUUCA